AUUGAACGCUGGCGGCAUGCCUUACACAUGCAAGUCGAACGGCAGCACGGGUGCUUGCACCUGGUGGCGAGUGGCGAACGGGUGAGUAAUACAUCGGAACGUACCUUAUCGUGGGGGAUAACGCAGCGAAAGCUGUGCUAAUACCGCAUACGCCCUGAGGGGGAAAGCGGGGGAUCGAAAGACCUCGCGCGAUUAGAGCGGCCGAUGCCUGAUUAGCUUGUUGGUGGGGUAAAAGCCCACCAAGGCGACGAUCAAUAGCUGGUCUGAGAGGACGAUCAGCCACACUGGGACUGAGACGCGGCCCAGACUCCUACGGGAGGCAGCAGUGGGGAAUUUUGGACAAUGGGGGCAACCCUGAUCCAGCAAUGCCGCGUGAGUGAAGAAGGCCUUCGGGUUGUAAAGCUCUUUUGUCAGGGAAGAAACACCGGCUCUAACACAGUCCGGGAAUGACGGUACCUGAAGAAUAAGCACCGGCUAACUACGUGCCAGCCGCCGCGGUAA
rnacentral:rRNA from 1 species